GUGUCAGCCGCCGCGGUAAUACCGGCGGCCCGAGUGGCGGCCACUUUUAUUGGGCCUAAAGCGUCCGUAGCCGGGCUGGUAAGUCCUCCGGGAAAUCUGGUCGCUUAACGAUCAGACUGCCGGAGGAUACUGCCAGCCUUGGGACCGGGAGAGGCCGGGGGUAUUCCCGGGGUAGGGGUGAAAUCCUGUAAUCCCGGGAGGACCACCUGUGGCGAAGGCGCCCGGCUGGAACGGGUCCGACGGUAAGGGACGAAGGCUAGGGGAGCAAACGGGAUUAGAUACCCCGGUAGUCCUAGCUGUAAACGCUGCGGGCUUGGUGUUGGGGGUCCUUCGAGGGCGCCCAGUGCCGGAGAGAAGUUGUUAAGCCCGCUACCUGGGGAGUACGGCCGCAAGGCUGAAACUUAAAUGAAUUGACGGGG
rnacentral:rRNA from 1 species